rnacentral:rRNA from 1 species
GACGAACGCUGGCGGCGUGCCUAGUACAUGCAAGUAGAACGCUGAAGGAGGAGCUUGCUCUUCUGGAUGAGUUGCGAACGGGUGAGUAACGCGUAGGUAACCUGCCUGGUAGCGGGGGAUAACUAUUGGAAACGAUAGCUAAUACCGCAUAACAGUAGAUGCUGCAUGACAUUUGCUUAAAAGGUGCAAUUGCAUCACUACCAGAUGGACCUGCGUUGUAUUAGCUAGUUGGUGGGGUAACGGCUCACCAAGGCGACGAUACAUAGCCGACCUGAGAGGGUGAUCGGCCACACUGGGACUGAGACACGGCCCAGACUCCUACGGGAGGCAGCAGUAGGGAAUCUUCGGCAAUGGACGGAAGUCUGACCGAGCAACGCCGCGUGAGUGAAGAAGGUUGUCGGAUCGUAAAGCUCGGUUGUAAGAGAAGAACGAGUGUGAGAGUGGAAAGUUCACACUGUGACGGUAUCUGACCAGAAAGGGACGGCUAACUACGUG